GGUUGCGAUCAUACCAGCACUAAUGCACCGGAUCCCUUCAGAACUCCGCAGUUAAGCGUGCUUGGGCGAGAGUAGUACUAGGAUGGGUGACCCCUGGGAAGUCCUCGUGUUGCAACCC
rnacentral:rRNA from 1 species